AACCAAAUCACUAGGAUCAGAGAGUUGUAACAAAAGAGUUUGAAAUAUGGGAUCAUGCAUAUUAAUUAGCUUUCCUCCUGUACGCCUUUGCAAUAGUAGUACCCAUUCCAAAGCACACAGUCUCGUUUCCUCGUUAUCAUUCGAAAGCAAUUUUUGUAAAACUUCAAUAAGCGAGCGAAAAUCGACGCUUAAACUGUUAUCUUUAUUAUUAGUUUCCGAUCCAGAGAAUUCAAUGUCCAUAAUUUUGCUGACCAAAAUAACCAAAUUUUGGCUUAAAUCUUUUGCAGAUUGACGCAUAUUUUCGUCAUUCGACAUCAAAGGUAGCAGGUUUUCUAAAACUUUUGGUAUUUGUAAAAGGACGUCCUUUGGAGCAAUGUAUAUGAAUUCGAAAAGCCAUUUUAAAGCUUUUUCCUGAAUAAGAGGGACCGAUGAUCCUAGAUGGUCAAUAAUUAUUUCAAGUAUUCUUUUAUAGUCAAUUUGUAUAUGCGCUUCCAAGAUAAAAGAUCCAUCUCUUAGAGAGCUCUCAACGUAAUCUGAAAUCUCUUUUAGCUCGGCGUCUGACAUAUUGCGACGAACCAUGGAAUCAAAAAAAUCAGGCUC